CUACGGGGUGCAGCAGUGGGGAAUCUUAGACAAUGGGCGCAAGCCUGAUCUAGCCAUGCCGCGUGAGUGAUGAAGGCCUUAGGGUCGUAAAGCUCUUUCGCUGGGGAAGAUAAUGACGGUACCCAGUAAAGAAACCCCGGCUAACUCCGUGCCAGCAGCCGCGGUAAUACGGAGGGGGUUAGCGUUGUUCGGAAUUACUGGGCGUAAAGCGCGCGUAGGCGGACUGUUAAGUCGGGGGUGAAAUCCCGGGGCUCAACCCCGGAACGGCCUUCGAUACUGGCAGUCUGGAGUUCGAGAGAGGUGAGUGGAAUUCCGAGUGUAGAGGUGAAAUUCGUAGAUAUUCGGAGGAACACCAGUGGCGAAGGCGGCUCACUGGCUCGAUACUGACGCUGAGGUGCGAAAGUGUGGGGAGCAAACAGGAUUAGAUACCCCUGUAGUC
rnacentral:rRNA from 1 species